AUUGAACGCUGGCGGCAGGCCUAACACAUGCAAGUCGAACGAGUGGCGGACGGGUGAGUAAUGUCUGGGAAACUGCCUGAUGGAGGGGGGUAACUACGGGAAACGGUAGCUAAUACCGCAUACCAUCGGAUGUGCCCAGAUGGGAUUAGCUAGUUGGUGGGGUAACGGCUCACCAAGGCGACGAUCCCUAGCUGGUCUGAGAGGAUGACCAGCCACACUGGAACUGAGACACGGGCCAGACUCCUACGGGAGGCAGCAGUGGGGAAUAUUGCACAAUGGGCGCAAGCCUGAUGCAGCCAUGCCGCGUGUAUGAAGAAGGCCUUCGGGUUGUAAAGUACUUUCAGCAGGGAGGCGUUACCCGCAGAAGAAGCACCGGCUAACUCCGUGCCAGCAGCCGCGGUAAUAC
rnacentral:rRNA from 1 species